AUUGGACAGUUAGUUUAAUUAGGAUUCUCUGGUUGUACAUAGAAUUUUAAUAAGAAAAAUACUACUUAUGACAAUAAACAAAUUCAACAAUGAGAAAAGUGUGGGAGAACAACAUGUACAAGAAUAGAGAUUUAAAUUCAGAGACGAGAUUUGGUUGGACUGGACUUUUGUAAAAUAAGGAAAAAAGUGAUCAUUUGCUCAGAGCCCCACUGCCUUCAAGAGGGUGUAAAAACAAGGAGCAAA